rnacentral:snRNA from 1 species
UCUUCCUUCUCUCUUACU